rnacentral:lncRNA from 1 species
AGGGUUGGUGACACGCGUGUGACAUGCUUAGGGACACGUGUGACAUGUGUGUGACAUGUUUGGGGACACGUGUGACAUGUAUGGGACACGUGGGGACACGGACGUGUGGGGUGCGGGGUGGCCCCAGCCUUGGAUCUCCAAGUUUUGGGUCAGAUUCGUGAGGUCUGGGGUUCUGUGGGGUUGGUGACACGCGUGUGACACGUGUGACACGUUUGGGGACACGUGUGACACGCGUGUGACACGUUUAGGGACACGCAUGACGCGUGUGACGCGUGUCGGGGCGGUGCCCCCCAUGUCCUUGUCCCCAGGGCCAGUGCCAGUGGCGGCAGCCGCCGGGCCGCGAGAUCUACCGCAAGAGCAACAUCUCCGUGUACGAGGUGGACGGCAAGGACCACAAGGUGCGGGGCGUGACACGCGGGGACAUGUCGCGACAUGUCGUGACAUAUCAUGACAUGUCAUGACACGUAACAACACGGGACACCAGGUCUACCCAUGAUAUGUACUCAUUGGCCAACCUCUACCACACCAUGACCCAUGGGGACAUGGAGGUGACACAUGGUGACAUAUCAUAACACAUGAUGACAUAUCAUGACAUGUCGUGACAUAUCGUGACACAUGAUGACAUAUCAUGACGUGCAAUGACAUGUCACGACAUGGGACACCAGGUCUACCCAUGAUAACCUACUCUGGUUGGCCAACCUCUACCAAACCAUGACCCCUGGGGACAUGGAGGUGACACGUGGUGACAUAUCAUGACAUAUCACGACAUGAGAUGACAUAUCAUGACAUGCAGUGACAUGUCACGACAUGGGACACCAGGUCUACCCACGACAACCACCUCUUUUUGGCCAACCUCUACCAAACCAUGACCCAUGGGGACAUGGAGGUGACACGUGGUGACAUAUCAUAACACACGAUGACAUAUUAUGACAUGUCGUGACAUAUCAUGACACAUGGUGACAUUUCAUGACACAUGAUGACAUAUCAUGACACGUAAUGACAUAUGGUGACACAUGAUGACAUAUCAUGAUGCGUGAUGACAUAUCAUGACAUGUCGUGACAUAUCAUGACACAUGAUGACAUAUCAUGACGUGCAAUGACAUGUCACGACAUGGGACA